GACGAACGCUGGCGGCGUGCUUAACACAUGCAAGUCGAACGAAGUGGCGAACGGGUGAGUAACGCGUAAUCAACCUGCCCUUCAAAGGGGGACAACAGUUGGAAACGACUGCUCAUACCGCAUAUGGAAGGAGGGGAUGGCGUGUGAUUGGCUAGUUGGAGGGGUAACGGCCCACCAAGGCGAUGAUCAGUAGCCGGUCGUAGAGGAUGAACGGCCAAAUUGGGAACGAGACACGGACCAGACUCCUACGGGAGGCAGCAGUGGGGAAUCUUGCGAAAUGGACGAAAGUCUGACGGAGCAACGGCGCGUGAGGGAUGACGGGCUUCGGGUUGUAAAGCUAUGUUAAUCGGGACGCGGUACCGGAAUAGAAAGCCACGGCUAACUACGUGCCAGCAGCCGCGGUAAUAC
rnacentral:rRNA from 1 species